GACGGAAGGUGCAAGCGUUGCUCGGAAUCACUGGGCGUAAAGGGUGCGUAGGCGGCUUGGUAGGUCUGGUGUGAAAGCCCCGGGCUCAGCCCGGGAAGGGCACUAGAAACUGCCAAGCUAGAGUGCCGGAGGGGAGAGUGGAAUUCCUGGUGGUAGCGGUGAAAUGCGUAGAUAUCAGGAGGAAUACCGGUGGCGAAAGCGACUCUCUGGACGGCAACUGACGCUGAGGCACGAAAGCGUGGGGAGCAAACAGG
rnacentral:rRNA from 1 species